UACAGAGGUCUCAAGCGUUGUUCGGAUUCAUUGGGCGUAAAGGGUGUGUAGGUGGCGCGCUAAGUCAUACGUGAAAUCCCUCAGCUUAACUGGGGAACUGCGUGUGAUACUGGAUGGCUUGGAUUUGGGAGAGGGAUGCGGAAUUCCAGGUGUAGCGGUGAAAUGCGUAGAUAUCUGGAGGAACACCGGUGGCGAAGGCGGCAUCCUGGACCAAUAUUGACGCUGAGGAGCGAAAGCCAGGGGAGCAAACGGG
rnacentral:rRNA from 1 species